AGAGUUUGAUCAUGGCUCAGGAUGAACGCUAGCGGCAGGCUUAAUACAUGCAAGUCGAGGGGCAGCAGGGUGUAGCAAUACAUCGCUGGCGACCGGCAAACGGGUGCGGAACACGUACGCAAUCUACCCAUAACUGAUGAAUAGCCCUCCGAAAGGAGGAUUAAUACAUCGUAACAUAAUGAUGAGGCAUCUCUUUAUUAUUAUAGCUCCGGCGGUUAUGGAUGAGCGUGCGGCUGAUUAGGUAGUUGGCGGGGUAACGGCCCACCAAGCCUACGAUCAGUAACUGGUGUGAGAGCACGACCAGUCACACGGGCACUGAGACACGGGCCCGACUCCUACGGGAGGCAGCAGUAAGGAAUAUUGGUCAAUGGACGCAAGUCUGAACCAGCCAUGCCGCGUGAAGGAUGAAGGUCCUCUGGAUUGUAAACUUCUUUUGUGUGGGAAGAAAUCCUUGAAUUCUUUCGAGGUUGACGGUACCACAAGAAUAAGCACCGGCUAACUCCGUGCCAGCAGCCGCGGUAAUACGGAGGGUGCAAGCGUUAUCCGGAUUCACUGGGUUUAAAGGGUGCGUAGGUGGGCCUGUAAGUCCGUGGUGAAAUCUCCAAGCUUAACUUGGAAACUGCCAUGGAUACUAUAGGUCUUGAAUACCGUGGAGGUGAGCGGAAUAUGUCAUGUAGCGGUGAAAUGCUUAGAUAUGACAUAGAACACCAAUUGCGAAGGCAGCUCACUACACGAAUAUUGACACUGAGGCACGAAAGCGUGGGGAUCAAACAGGAUUAGAUACCCUAGUAGUCC
rnacentral:rRNA from 1 species